rnacentral:rRNA from 1 species
UACGUAGGGGGCGAGCGUUGUCCGGAUUUACUGGGCGUAAAGAGCGCGUAGGCGGAAAUUUAAGCGUGGCCUGAAAGCCCCCGGCUCAACCGGGGAGUGCGGCUGCGAACUGGGUUUCUUGAGGACGAUAGAGGAGAGUGGAAUUCCUGGUGUAGCGGUGAAAUGCGCAGAUAUCAGGAGGAACACCAAUGGCGAAGGCAGCUCGCUGGGACGGUACUGACGCUGAGACGCGAAAGCGUGGGGAGCAAACAGG